AAUGCCUUCAACCCUUCCUGCAGAAACUAUAAGGAGCUGCUGUGAAGUCUAAGAUUUGAUGACUGCUGCAAGGGUUAGUUUUCACUUCUUGGAAAGAGGAAUUCACCAUGGCUUUUGCCUCUGGACCUUUCCAACCUCACAAACCGAAACAUUUGUACUUCACUACUUCUUGCCUUUGACCAGCUAUAGAUGGAUACGUUGGAACCAUUCGGGGAUGAAUUCAGCGGAAUGGCCAGAUGCCCAUAUGAUGCCAAACAUGCCAACGUUGCACUGUUUGCAGAUGGAAAACUAUACUCAGCCACAGUGACUGACUUCCUUGCCAUUGACGCAGUCAUUUACCGGAGUCUUGGAGAAAGCCCUACCCUGCGGACCGUCAAGCAUGAUUCAAAAUGGUUGAAAGAACCAUACUUUGUUCAAGCUGUGGAUUACGGAGAUUAUAUCUACUUCUUCUUCAGGGAAAUAGCAGUGGAGUAUAACACCAUGGGAAAGGUAGUUUUCCCAAGAGUGGCUCAGGUUUGUAAGAAUGAUAUGGGAGGAUCUCAAAGAGUCCUGGAGAAACAGUGGACGUCGUUCCUGAAGGCGCGCUUGAACUGCUCAGUUCCUGGAGACUCUCAUUUUUAUUUCAACAUUCUCCAGGCAGUUACAGAUGUGAUUCGUAUCAACGGGCGUGAUGUUGUCCUGGCAACGUUUUCUACACCUUAUAACAG
rnacentral:sRNA from 1 species